rnacentral:lncRNA from 1 species
AUGACCCUCCAGAAGAUUCACAAUGUUGAUGCUUCAUCCAGUGACUUAACAAUUAUUCUCAAUGCAGCUCAGCAGUCUUUGCAGCAACCCAUUUGCGCUCAACCAAUCAACUAUGCUUAUGGAGCCAAUUUUUUAAUAAUCGGACAUAUCCAUACUGCGCAUGAUCUUAUUCAAAGGACGCGUAUGUGCAGCAAAGUUUUAUAUGUACAAGAUGCGAAUUCUAACAAUUUAUUCCGUGUAAUACUCCUGAAUGCCUGUGCAAAGGAAGCCGAAGAGGCAGGUGUGAAAGAGAUGGAUUUGGUUGCUUUCUUGAAUCCUUGUCUCUCUCCUCAUCCAGCACAGGAGUGGUCCAGUUUAAAAGUUUACAGGAAACAAAUAAUAUUUCAUGACAAAAACAAGGCAUCACCUUCUAUGUGGCUCUAUCAACAGGUUCAAUGUAACUUUGUCCGGCGUAAUUUAAUAAAAAACAAACAUCACUUUCCGGAAGAUGAAGUUAACAAAGACCAUGAUCCUCCUCCCGCCAAGAAAUUAUUAUCAAGUAAAUCACAAGGAUGUGGCUCAUCAAGAACUUUAGCUUCUUUGGAGAAAGGGUUAAAUUCAGAAAUGGUUGAGAACACCGCAACAGGUAUUCAGGUGACUGGGCAAACAGUCCGAUUACAGCCAACGAAUCAGAAUUUCACAGGAACUCUAAGUACAGAGUCUGUUGAUUCCUCCGUGACUAUCUCCAAGAAAGUACUGCCUGAUAGCGUUCAACCGUCUGUUGGUUCAUCAAGUACUCAAAAUUCUACCUCAGUUGAUCUCAGGUCUAAAACAGCCGACAAAACCUUGACUGAUUUACAAUCAUAUCCAGAAUCAGUAGGGACUCAACCCAAAAAUCAUGAUUGCUUGCAAAAUCAUCAUUUAACACCAGUUCCAAAGCUUUCUCCCGAAGAUACAUCGUCAAAUAAUUGUCAUUCUUCCAUUGAAUCAUCAAAUACCUCAGCUUACUUUAGCCCUGAAACAGCCGAGAACACCUCAACAGAAAUUAAUGCGGCUCAACUACUUUUGGAGCUAUCCGAAAAUAUUAAUCGCCGAAAAACUCCCAAUACAGAAUCAGUUUUAUCUCCUUUGCCUUCUCCUAAAGUAUUGCCAACUAACAUCCAACCUGGCAUUGACUCAUCGAAUGCCCCAGUGCCUUGCUAUGUUGAUUGUGGUUCUAAAGUAAUUGAAGACAUCUCAGUAGGUGUUCAGGUGCCCAGGCAAAUGGUUGGAACUCAGUCAGUGGUAGAAACUUGUAGCUUAGGGUCUGUUGUUUCCCCCAAGAAAGUAUUGUGCAGUGAUGUUCAACCCUCUGUUGGUUUAUCAAAUAAUUCAUUUUCCAGCCCAGUUGAUUGCCGGUCUGAAGUCGCCCAAAAUAUCUUGACUGAUAUUCAGAUGAAUAAAAAUCAUGAUCGCUCAGGAAAUCAUCAUUUGAAACAAAAUUUCUCUUCAAAAAUUUCUUUGAUAACUUCCACCAAAGAUAAAUUUACCAAUGAUGUUCAUUCCUCUGUUGACUUAUCAAAUACUUCAGCUUCUUGUUCAGCUGACCUUAGUGCUACAGCGAUUGAAAACAUCUCAGCAGAUAUUCAUGUGACUCAACUCCCUGUAGAAAGUCAGUCCAAAAACCACGGUCGCCGAAAAACUCUUGAUACUGAGUUGUCUCCAUUUUCUGUGCCUCCUUCUAAAGUAUUGCCAAGAAAUCCUCAACCUGUCAUUAGCUCAUUAGAUGCUCCAGUGCCUUGCUCUGUUAACCUUGAUUCUGAAGCAAUAGAGUUAAGCUUAAGUGGUGCUCAGGUGUGCCAACAACCUUUACAAACUCAAUCGAAACAGCAUGAUCAGUCAAAAACUCAUCAUACUAAUUCAGCUAGCUCUCCAGGAAAAAACAAAAACAGCACACCACAAAAUGAACAAACAAGGCUGGAAACCAAUUGCAACAAAACUAAUGAGUGCUCACUAAGAAUAACAGACACGAUUAUACAUGAUGGUCAUCAAAACGGAGAAGUAACGUCAAAUGAUUGUACCUUGACUCCUCGGUAUCCAUUCGAUUUCAAGCAUUUAGCUCAUAUCAGAGAAGGAGAAGUUAUUCAUACAGUUGUUGUAAUUCAGACUAUAAAAGUAAGUAUAAAUAAGGUAUCUCAAAAUGAUCCUAGUUUCAUUUGUAAGUAGACAAGAAUCAAUUCUACAGAAAUUUACUUAUUUGAACAUAAAUUGACGGAGUUAUGACAGUUUGUACAAGGGAUCUAUGGCAACAGCCCACGGUUUUUUUAAAACAAUUUUCUCUUACCAAAAUGUACAGCUUUAAAACAUUUGGCUUUAAAUUGUUAAAUUGGCAUUAAUGAAUUGGUAAUGCUGAAAUGCUGGGUGGAGUCUCAGCAGUGUUUUUUUUUUUUUUUUUGUAUUUGUGUCUCGAGCAGCUUCUCAUUGUGUCUUCCGCCCUUUUGCGAAUAUUUACAAAAACUUUUCUGUUCUCCUGUUGUCUCUUUGUUUUAUUCAUGUUCAAGCAAAUAUUUUUCAAGAAGUACAAAAAAGCAAUAGCUGUAGCCAGAGCAAUUUUCUGGGGGUAGCCUGUCCACCGCUUUUUCAUGAGGGGUCUGAGUCCUCUCAGUACAAGACAAGGGUAUAAGGAAAUGUAAGCAGGUUUUGCGUGGAAAGUUUUCUCUCAGGUGCAUUUUGAGACUAUUCUCGCGCCAACUGAAGGCUCAAAUUUACGCAUAAUCCUUGAAAAACAUUUCAAACUUUUUUCUUUUUCCCCAUUGUACUAUGUAAUAAAUCGAGAAAAUCUACCUAGUUUGAGGUUAUUAAGUGUUGUUCAAAUUUUUUUGGGUGGGCCAGAUGACACCAUCUCAAAUUCUAUGGGGAGCAAGGUCCUCUCUGGUCCCUUACGAAUUCCAAUGGAAAAACAAUUAGAAGCCUCACAAGACGUUACUUCACAAAAAUCAACAGGCGCAGCAGAAAUUCAUCCAUUGUUUUUGCGAUACCAAUUCAUUCAUUCAUUCAUAGAUUUUUGCAUCGUUAACCAUAGUUACUUCACCAGUUAUGUAAAAAUUUGGCAACAUUUUCGCAAUAUUGUUUCUAAACUAUUAGAACGUCCUCGAAGCUUGUUACGACUGUUGUGUACAUUAAUUAACAGUUUAUGCAGUUAUGCAGUUUAAGCGGGCUAGGGGACAGGAGUUGUAGCGUUUUUAAACGGGAGGCACAUUAUCCAGUAAACGCUCUCAUCCUCUUUAGUCCAUUGAUUAAAUGCCAAGUCUGUUACAUGCAAGUACACCUACUGCUCUCUCUUUUGAUAAUCCUAUAUAAAAUUAAAAAAUAAAAAUAAAUAUGUAUAUAUAUAUAUAUAUAUUUUCAGCCAAUGUAUCAUCUUUUGCUUUACCGAAUGAAAGUAUAACAAGUUGAAGUAAAUUUUAUUUUUCUGUCCUGUUUCAGAGACAAGUCUCGUGUAACUCUUGUACUGCACUGGUGACAGUUUGUGUGACAGAUGAAAGCAUAUUUCCUGAUGUAAUUGAUAUUACAAUAGUAACUCAUGUUGGACUGAAACCUUUGCUGAAAAAGAAUGAUAUAGCAAGAUUUAUGAAUGUACAUGUAAGUAUGUUAAAAUACUCUCUCAAACAAUGAAAAAAUUAAAAUUAACAUAUGCAUGCAUUUUAAGAACCCAUUAUAAGAUAAUUUGAGGAUUACAGUUAUCAAACUUUGCUCAGCAACAAAAUGCUGUAAUAAAAUUCGCUCCUCUUCAAUCUUUUGCCACAUAUAUUGUUUUCUAACUACCUGUUCAAUUUGAUCUUAAUGAUCUCUGAUUUGGUGAAUGUUUAUUGAUUUAAUUAUUAAAUUUUGGCUGUGCCCAAAAAUUGCUCAUUUUAAAGUCCAUGUCAGAUAAAUUCACGGAGUUUUUGAGUAUGACAAAAGAUGCAACGCCUUAAUUCUUUUGUUUACUUUCAAUGCUAAUCUGAAGAUAGCUAAUCUUUUGUCGCACUCAGAAAGUGUUUGAACUUAUUUGGCGUGGACUCUAUUUGAGAAUAUCUCAUGUUUUUUUGUUUUUAUUUCAGCCCACUCAGAAGAAAAGUUUUAGUGAAGGAGGGAGGGGGAAAAGUAAUGUGGGAUGUUUGAAUAUUUCUGCAUGAAGUAUUGAUACAGCCUUACUUUGAUAUAUCUUUCAUUAUGUAUGUUUAUUAUUUACUUGUACACUCAACUAAUCCUGGCCAAACUGCUCAAAAAUAUUACAGAUAAGUUCGGUAGAUGGUAAACUAAUAGGAAAGGUAUUUUCUGGUGAUGAUGUUGGCAUCUAUAAAAGUCCAGAGGAAGCCUCAAGUUCUGGAGGCUUCAGCCUAAUAAGACAAUGCACUUUUGCAGGUACUUCAAUGUUAAUUUUUUUCAAUAUAUUCGCCUCCUAGAAGAACUUAAUAGAGCCUUCCGAAAGAACUUAAUGGAGCCUUUAUUACUUCUAUGUUUUGAUGAUUUUUCUCCGACUUGGAAUUUUUUUUGUUUCCUCCGUUUAAAUCUUUAUACUUUGCUUUCCUUCGCGCUCAUAAGCUAGCUUUUGAUAAUUUAUGGUUUUACAUUAUGGCAAGAAGCAAAAUCAGAAAAAAAGUAAAGAGGUCACAAAAUGUAAGGGCGUAGGCGAUAGUCACAAAACAAAUGAUUACUUUGCAGUACAAGAAAGCAUCAAACCUAAUGAAAAUCUGUACGUCCAUGUAAGCCUCACAGAGGUCCUGUAUCACUCUUUGGGAAUUGUGUACCUUUUAUGGACCGUUUUAACUUUAGUUAGGAACUUCAAGUAGUUGCUACAGGAUCCCUGCAGUAAUAUCUCCAAGCAUUUUGAAUGCCCCUCAAAUCAUUUUGCUCUACACUUGAAAUGUCUUAUCAAGCAUUUGAAUUGUUUACUCUAUGGUUUUGUGUAAUUAUUUGGCUCCAUUUUCAAAAGUGAUCUACAAAACGUUAUGAUCCCAAGCACCGUAAAUUGAUAGUUUAAUGCAGGGAGGAAACAGAUUUAUUCGUGUGUAUUCAAUUUGCUGAUCUUUUUUUCUUCUUUUUCUUUUUUUUCCUGGGGUAUUCAAUUUUGUGUAUAUAACCUCUAUUUUUCUGGAUGUAAAUUAACUAACUAACUUAACAGUGGGUUGUUUGUGUUUUAUGCUCAAGAAAAUUAAUGCUUAUAUUAUCAAUUAAUUAAAGGUAGUUGUUUAGGGUUCCCAGGUUUAGUCGUGGCAGUUCAAGGGGCAAUUCUUCAAGUCAAAAUAAGUUUUUUUCCUCUAUAAACAUGAGUCCUUAAGUUAAACUCUACGGUGCUAUAACCACCCAAAUUCUUAAAAAUAUAUAAGUUUUUCAUUUUAGGGACAGCUUUGGAUUGACUGUCAUAAAAAUGUGUAGCUAGCAGUAAUUUUUAUUGCCAAAACCAAAUUUUAGGUGAUGAAUGAUAUGCGUAAGUUUUUGGGGGAGUCUCUGUAUAAAGGGACGCUGUGCUGCUUGAUUCAAGCUAUUAGAUAGACAGAGUGAGUGUCGGCUUGUAUGUAAAUCCCCCUGAUCUUUUUUACAUAAUAGUCUUCUUAUCCAGAAAUCAUGACUUGCCAACGCUUGGCAAUUUUUCUUUUUCUCCUUUUUCAUGUUUCUUGAAUGAACCCAUGAAUCAGUUAAAGAUAGGAUAUGAAGUUAGGACGAAGUGAAUUAAGAGAUAGGGGAAAAAAUUGCUGAGCAUUGUCGAGUUAUGAAGUCUGUAGAAGGAGAACUAUGUGCGAUAAAAAAUCAAGAGAAAUUACAUAGCGGCUGACACUAGGGUGCGGCUUAUAGAGGAAAUUAAAAAUGAUGAAUUUUAAAAUUGACAAGGCACCCCGCCAAAACGUUCCUACUAGUGUAAAAACAAACGUUGUAGAACAGUUUUGCAUUUGGUCAACAUUUAGAGGUCCCGACGGGCCUUUAAAGUUGCCAAAUUUGGCUAAUUUUCGCACUUUUUCAUCAAUUUUGGCAAAUUUUCUCAGGCCUCACUGAGAGUUCUAAUUGGUCAAUUUAUUCAUAAAUAGGCAGUACAUAACCUAAAAUGUACCCCAUCCUCCCUUAAGCCCCCCAGCCCCCCCAACCCCCCUCCCUCACCGAUCCAAUAUAAAUACACUCUUUAUAAACUACGCUAUUUUGGUAGUGACCAGAGAUCUUAAGUAACACUGGUCAACACGGGUUCAAAUGUGAUGGAACUAAGGUAGUUUUUAGCGUUGAGUCCGAAAAUGACCUCCGUUAUGCUGGGUCAGGUCGAUUUUCCCCGGAAAAAUCAGGAUUUUCCUUAAAAAUCGAGCUUUUCUGGUGAAAAAUCAAUUUUCCGGAAAAUCUGUGCAUGAUGGUGGAAAGAUUAGGUCAUUUUCGGAUUCAGCAGCUAAAAUUACAUGGGCAUCUCUAUAUUGCAUGCCUACUGAAGUUUCCGUUCUGUUCCAAAUAUCGAGGUUUUUCCGGACAAGUGCCCCUUUCCGCCCAUGUAACGCAUGUAAUACCAGUCCGAUUGAUUUGUGUCGGAAAGUAGGGAAAAUAUUUUUUCUCAGGCGACAGGUGGAGUUGACUCCACUAAAUUAUUGCCGCUGCAGCCGAAAAUGACCCUAGCUUCCUUUCAGAACAUUUGGAAAAUCCAGAUUCCGAAAAGAGGGGAUGUUUUCAAACGUUUUUGAGUUAAAAAGGUGCAUUUUUUUCGAAAAAUCGAUUUUUAAAAAAAAUUGAUAGAUUUUGGAAGACAACGAGGGUCAUAUUGGCUGCAGCGGCAAUAAUUUAGUGGAGUCAACUCCACCUGUCGCCUGAGAAAAAAUAUUUUCCCUCCUUUCCGACACAAAUCAAUCGGACUGGUAUUACAUGCGUUACAUGGGCGGAAAGGGGCACUUGUCCGGAAAAACCUCGAUAUUUGGAACAGAACGGAAACUUCAGUAGGCAUGCAAUAUAGAGAUGCCCAUGUAAUUUUAGCUGCUGAAUCCGAAAAUGACCUAAUCUUUCCACCAUCAUGCACAGAUUUUCCGGAAAAUUGAUUUUUCACCAGAAAAGCUCGAUUUUUAAGGAAAAUCCUGAUUUUUCCGGGGAAAAUCGACCUGACCCAGCAUAACGGAGGUCAUUUUCGGACUCAACGCUAAAAACUACCUUAGUUCC